GAUGAACGCUGGCGGCGUGCCUAAUACAUGCAAGUCGAGCGAACGGACGAGAAGCUUGCUUUUCUGAUGUUAGCGGCGGACGGGUGAGUAACACGUGGAUAACCUACCUAUAAGACUGGGAUAACUUCGGGAAACCGGAGCUAAUACCGGAUAAUUUUUUGAACCGCAUGGUUCAAAAGUGAAAGACGGUCUUGCUGUCACUUAUAGAUGGAUCCGCGCUGCAUUAGCUAGUUGGUAAGGUAACGGCUUACCAAGGCAACGAUGCAUAGCCGACCUGAGAGGGUGAUCGGCCACACUGGAACUGAGACACGGUCCAGACUCCUACGGGAGGCAGCAGUAGGGAAUCUUCCGCAAUGGGCGAAAGCCUGACGGAGCAACGCCGCGUGAGUGAUGAAGGUCUUCGGGUUGUAAAACUCUGUUAUUAGGGAAGAACAUAUGUGUAAGUAACUGUGCACAUCUUGACGGUACCUAAUCAGAAAGCCACGGCUAACUACGUG
rnacentral:rRNA from 1 species